GAUGAACGCUGGCGGAGUGCCUAACACAUGCAAGUCGAGCGGCAGCGCGAGUAGUUUACUACUUGGCGGCGAGCGGCGGACGGCUGAGUAACGCGUGGGAACAUGCCCCAAAGUGAGGAAUAACUGCCCGAAAGGGUAGCUAAUGCCGCAUACGAUCUUCGGAUUAAAGGAUUUAUCCGCUUUGGGAGUGGCCUACGUACGAUUAGAUAGUUGGUGAGGUAAUGGCUCACCAAGUCUACGAUCGUUAACUGGUUUGAGAGGAUGAUCAGUCAGACUGGAACUGAGACACGGUCCAGACUCCUACGGGAGGCAGCAGUGAGGAAUCUUCCACAAUGGACGAAAGUCUGAUGGAGCAAACUCCGCGUGCAGGAUGAAGGGCCUUCGGGUCGUAAACUAGCUUUAUGAGUGAAGAAUAUGACGGUAACUCAUGAAUAAGGGUACGGGCUAACUAACGUUGCCAGCA
rnacentral:rRNA from 1 species